UGCAUAUAUAUGGUAGUAAGCAAUAUUCACACAAUAUUUUUAUUCAUAAUAAAACACCUAAGUUACCAUAUUGUUAAUAAAAGGAAUCUUGAGGCUUUUAAAUUUUAAUUCUAGAAUUUCAUAGCCAGAAUAUUCUUUUUCUUUUUUCUGGGACAGGAAAUUGUUAACAAAGUGGAUCAUACACCCUUAGUAACCUUUUAAACCACAUGUAUUUGCUAAAAUUAUUGGAUUCUCAAAGCAACAUAAGUCAAAGCACAGUGUUUACAUGGCACCUUGUGACUUAAUGUUUCAAUACACUGUAAUGUAAGUUUGGAGAGAAAUUUCAGUUCUGUGCUCUCAGGAAAUGUACUGUGUUCCCCAGUGUACUUUCAUGCUAUUUCUUGAAGCCUUUCUAAGCAGCUUUGGGAAAAUCAUAUCCGCACAACACUCUAUCCACAAAUAUCUCUACCGUCUUGAUGCAACAGAAACAGUAGUUGCAUAUGUAUUUAUAUCCUUUUCAUGUGAUACAAAAAUGUAUAUUGUCUGGUGUAUCAUCUCUACUUAACAUUAUUUCUAUUAUAAAUGAUACUUAUGAUUGAUGACAUAAUUAAUCACAGAUUUCUCCUACUGAAAUGAUACAGUUUAGUUCACUAUCCUAUAGAUGCCAAUAUUAAGAAGGUACAACUGUUUCUCAGUAAAGACUCACUAACUAAACUUAUAACUCAAGUCCCCAACUGAGUCUGUAAGAACCAUCAGGCUUCACACCAGGAUUCUUCCUAGGUGUUGUGAUCAAGGGAAGUCAUAGUCCUCUCCUGGGAAGGGUCUAACAUAACAAAUUUAUUUAUAAUAACUGAAAAUGAAAGGGCUUACAGUGGUGUUCAGUAAUUGUGAUAGGUAAAAUAUACACAUACAUGCAUGUUCUUUGGGAAAACAUUUUGUAUGUGUAUUCAUAAAUGUACUGUGGGAUGAGUGUCCACAUUCAGCAUUCAGGGCGUGGUUUCUUUACAACUAAUGGUUAUGUGUAUUUUUUAAUUUUCAAAUGUACAGAUGCCUGUAGAAAUGAUGUCUCUGAACAAGUCAUUUAACCUUGGCUAGUGGAAUAUAUCCAAUGCCCUGUAGUAGAAUUUCCACCUUCAUUACUACUGUGCUUUUAUUGUGCAGUUUCUGUUUUGUGUUUAGAUAGCAGAUGUCAAAUACGUCAGGAGUGUCUGUUUGGCUGACUUGAUACAGUUGCUGACCCUAGCUCUCUAAAGUAGAAAUCAUUAUAAACCAAAUAGGACUAAACCCUGGAGUCUGGAGUCUAGUAAACUUAUUUAUACAAACUGUAAAAAUUUCCUUUAAAAGAUCAAAUUAGUUAUUAAACAUGUUUAGAAAAUAGCUCAUUAAUGGUAUAAUCCAAUAGCUGGUCAUUGAUUAUGACAAGGUAUUACUCUGGCAAAAAAUGAUGAUUUUGCCAGGCUUAGUAAUACAAGCACUCAGGAGGCUGAAGUAGGGGAAUUGCAAAUUGGAGGCUAUCCUGUCUGCAUGGUAUAACAAGGCCCUGUCUCAACAAACAAAAGAAGAAACAACAAGGGCCUGGGGUUACAACUUUGGUAGAGUAUGUACCUAACUAACAUGUGUGAGAUCCUGGGCUUAAUCCCUAGCAACACUAGAAAUGAUCCUUACUUCAAAAAUUAAUUUAAAAUGAUAAUUAUUUUUAUAUAGAACAAGUAUCAUGACUUAGUGAUUGAAGUUGAUUGCUAAGGCCACCAAAUUAGUUAUAAUUAUUUUAAAUGGGUAAAUUCAAGAUAUAAAAAGUUUGAAAAUGACAAGAAAAUAGCCAUCUACUUAUUUUUGUGUCUACUGAAACAGUCCUUCAUUGUACAGAAUUAGCCUGGAGGACCUUACCUCCACAGUAACUAAUCUUUAUACUAAAUAAGAAAAGGGCAGCCCUGAAGUUUUGUGCACAUAAAUAGUUCAUUUUAUAAAAACAUGUAUAUAUAUAUACACACACAUACACACACACACACACACACACACACACACACACACACACAGCUAUGUGUACAAUAUGUAACUAUCUCCCAAAAGUAAUGAUUGAUAAAGCUAAAUAUAUUUGCCCAUGUUACAGCUAGUGUUCUAAGGUUUCUAAUUACUUUCAAAUUCCUAGACAUUCUGAUCUAUUUUAGAUUCUUUUAAGAAGCUUUGGCUCCACCUUGAAGCUAAUGCUAAUCUCCUUUCUGAAGACUUUACUAGAGAAACUAAGCCCGGAAAACUGUUUUUCAUUAUUAGAAUUUAAUUUCCGUAAGAAAAAACAUUUCUGGAUGGAGGCCUCUUGGGAAAUAUUUACUUCAACUUUGAAGUGAAAUUGUGCUAUAAUCUAGACUUAAAGAUUACAGUGCCUGUGCGCCUCCUGUUCCAAGGGAUUGCUGUGAGAAUUCUUACAACAUCUGUAAUGUAUUUGGAGUUCUUGGGAGAAAUUAAGUAUUUUAAAUAAUGAGAUUAUUGUAUAUAACAAUAUUCACAGAUUUUUUAAGAAUACAUUUGAUGAAUAAUUCAGCAUCAUAUUGGUCUUUUUGUAAGUAUAUGUGAUACACCUGAAGAUGAUAAUUCUGUAGUUUUUUUAAGGUAAGGUUAUUUUUAAAUUGUAUUUUUGUUUUAGCUUUAAAGUUAUAUUCUUUUAAAAAUAUUUCUCAUAUUUCAUCUUGUUACUUUGUAUCCUGGAGUGACUUUCGAAAAAUGCACAGAAUCACACGUCCUUAGUGGACUAAAAAGCAGGAGAAUGAUGCUCUCUUUUCUAAGGUUCUCUGACUGAAUCUGCAGCUCGCUGGUUGGCUAAUCUGGCAUCUCUGCCUUCCAGUGAUGGUAUCACAGAGGUGAUCACAAUGCCUGGCAGUCUACAUAUGUGCCAGGGACCCAACUGAGGAUCCCAUGCUUGUACAACAGUCACCCUUUCAUACUUUCUAUUUUAUAUGACCCAUCAUGAGAAGGCUAAUAUAAAGCUCCAACCAGAAUAUAAAAGAAAGGAAGUAACUCUUUUUGCCAUUUGUUUCAAUCUCAAAAGUCCCUGAAUUGCAAUGCACCACUGCUAGGUUUCUCCUGAACUCUAGACAUGCAUUCCUAUGCCCAUACAUGUGUGUUUUCUGCCUGUAGAUUCAUAUAUGUUCUGUCCAUAGCUUGCUCUUCGUGUCUGAUGUUAGAAAUAGACGAGUCACAGUACCAACUUCAUGCAACUACACACUUGCAUUUCUUUCCUAAUUUAUGAUCAGUUUAUUUCUGAGCAGUGCUGCUGGUACAACUUUAGCCCUGUAAAAGAUAGCUGUGUGUGUGAGGUGGAGUCUCGUUUUACUUCAUUUUUGGUACUCUUCCUUAUAAUCUGAAGGGGCCUCAUGGGCAAAGAGGAGGUGGAAACUACAUGCUAACAUGUAUCUCCCUACUGCUUCUGCCCAGAGGUAUUGGGUCUGAUCUACAAUAACAAAUACUUUCAGUGGAAUCGGGAGGCUUGGGGAGACUGUCCAAGACUGCUGAAGCAGAAGGACAUCAAAACAGAAUAAAUAGCAAACUAUACAUGGUUUAGAAUUUCCUUUGAUAGAAAUUGCAACAUGUGACAAAUUCCCAGAAUGCACUGGAAUUGUUCCAGACAUAGAAUGUUCAUCAAAGCAUAACAAAGUCAAAUAAAAGGAAUAUAUCUAAAUCCCCAUGUUGAGGUGGGUAAAAUCAGACAUCCUUAAUAUAAUUUUGUUUCAUGUACUCAAGUAGCAUUUGAAGUUCCCAGCAUGUCUGAAAGAAGAGAAAUUGCUUUCCUGUAGCAUUCGUAGCCUAAGAAGAAGGUUGAAGUCUCAGACUUUUGAUUUUCCACUCACUCCUGUUAUAAAAAAACAGGUGACAGAUGAGUCGAGUAAAAAGCCCUUGACUCUUCCCUCAAUGACUCAGAUUUUGGAUUACCAUGGUCACCAGGGGGCACUGUCUGUUGGCACAGCAUGCCUCUGAUAAAAAUAAACCAUUCACAAAAUCAGUGUGGAAAGUCAACAUUCUUAGCCCAAAAUCCAAAAGUAUUUUCUCAGUUCUAAAAAGUACCCAGCCUUGGCCAGUAGCACAUACUUCUGACAGACAAAGACAUUACUCGUGUUCUUUGCUUAGAGUGCAAAGUCCACUUAGAGUGAUAUGAAGAAUUAGUGGGAAGAUGCAAGAGUCCUUCAGGAUGGUGGCUUUGAUGGACAACUGCAUCCUCUCCAGGGCAAUGUCAGCAGAGGCAAACAAACGCUGCACAAUCUCAAACCUCUCAGUAUCUCUCAGAGGAGCCAAGGUGGGGUCUUCAAAAUCACAUACUCUGUCAUCAGACAGAGUGUCGAGCUGAAAUGACAAAUUUAAACAAACUUCAAAAUGUCCCAGAAAAUCCCAUUAGAUUAUUUUUUUUAAAGUUUCCUAAAUAGGUCAGUAAAACCAUUAAAUGUAACAAGAUACGUGUUUCUUCACUCUAAGACCUUAGUUAGGCCUGUUUUUCUCUGCCUGUAUCCCUGUCUGAAUCCUCACUGUGUUAAACUUUCUAGACCCAUUAGCCCAGUAGACUAGAGAAAUAAGCAUAUGUUUUUUGUAUGCCACAUACAAGGAUUCAUCUGACUUUACUGAUAAAUGUGUACAUUUUUAUGGGCUAUAUUAGAGUAAUUCAAUAUAAUAUAUAAUCUGUAAUAAAAAUCAGGGCAAUAAGAUACACUUCUAAUUAUUGUGAAAUAUGGGUGGUUUAUCUGUUACCUACUGUGUUAAAGAAGAUCCAGAAGUAUUCUUCCUGUCCGUGGUUUGAAGCUCAUUAGAUCUUCAUCCACCCGCCCCACUGCUUGUCUGAAUCUAAUGGUCAGGAUUCUACUUGUUCUUCUAAGAGUUUGACUUAGUAUUUCCACAAAUGCAUGAGUAUGUGUGUCCUAUGUCUGGCCUGUUUCAUUUAACAGUGACCUCCAGUUUCAGCCAUGUUGCUGCCAAUAAAUAACAUGGUUUAUUACAAGUGAA